rnacentral:rRNA from 1 species
CCAGAGAACUUAGCAGAGAUGCUUUGGUGCCUUCGGGAACUCUGAGACAGGUGCUGCAUGGCUGUCGUCAGCUCGUGUUGUGAAAUGUUGGGUUAAGUCCCGCAAGAGCGCAACCCUUAUCCUUUGUUGCCAGCGGCUCGGCCGGGAACUCAAAGGAGACUGCCGGUGAUAAACCGGAGGAAGGUGGGGAUGACGUCAAGUCAUCAUGGCCCUUACGGCCAGGGCUACACACGUGCUACAAUGGCGCAUACAAAGAGAAGCGACCUCGCGAGAGCAAGCGGACCUCAUAAAGUGCGUCGUAGUCCGGAUUGGAGUCUGCAACUCGACUCCAUGAAGUCGGAAUCGCUAGUAAUCGUAGAUCAGAAUGCUACGGUGAAUACGUUCCCGGGCCUUGUACACACCGCCCGUCACACCAUGGGAGUGGGUUGCAAAAGAAGUAGGUAGCUUAACCUUCGGGAGGGCGCUUACCACUUUGUGAUUCAUGACUGGGGUGAAGUCGUAACAAGGUAAGCGUAGCGAG